rnacentral:rRNA from 1 species
CUUAGCAGAGAUGCUUUGGUGCCUUCGGGAACUCUGAGACAGGUGCUGCAUGGCUGUCGUCAGCUCGUGUUGUGAAAUGUUGGGUUAAGUCCCGCAACGAGCGCAACCCUUAUCCUUUGUUGCCAGCGGUCCGGCCGGGAACUCAAAGGAGACUGCCAGUGAUAAACUGGAGGAAGGUGGGGAUGACGUCAAGUCAUCAUGGCCCUUACGAGUAGGGCUACACACGUGCUACAAUGGCGCAUACAAAGAGAAGCGACCUCGCGAGAGCAAGCGGACCUCAUAAAGUGCGUCGUAGUCCGGAUUGGAGUCUGCAACUCGACUCCAUGAAGUCGGAAUCGCUAGUAAUCGUAGAUCAGAAUGCUACGGUGAAUACGUUCCCGGGUCUUGUACACACCG